rnacentral:tRNA from 1 species
GGGCCUGUAGCUCAGUUGGGAGAGCGCGUCAAUCGCACUGACGAGGUCAGGAGUUCGAGUCUCCUCAGGUCCA